CUGGGUGCGCUGCGUUGGGAACGAGUGGGCGCCUUGGGCGGGUCCGUUUGCCUCAGCCCACCCUACCGUGGUUCGUUUCAGAAAAGUUUGGUGGGCUUCAGUCAGUGGGAAAAGACUCCAAGUUUCCUUCUGGUCAAGGUAAUUUUACCAGCAUUUCCUUCCAUUCCUUGCCCUCCCGGCUGCCCCCACCCCACACUUCCCAGUACAGGUUUUAGAGCAGGUAAUGCCUUGGAUCUGAGAUUCGUAUUGCUCUCUGCUUUUUCUGUUAUUCGUGAAGAAUUUAGCUGACGGUGCCGCCUUUGUGUGCUUUGUGCUUCGCUUCCCUAAAGGUAAAAGGGCAACGUCACAACUUCAUAGAAAGGCUGUAAAAUGAAUUAUUUGUUCAAGAAAGAUAGCCAAGUAAGAAGUCAUCUGAUGGGCAGUAUAUGACAGAGAGAAAUGCCAGGGUUCUGUUUCCAGUUAAUAUGAUACCACUGGUCAAGUCUCCUUCAGGCCCCGUAUUUCUCAAGUAAAGUUCAUGUUUGGCUGUAGGUUAGAUUUGUAAAUGAGGCAUUUCAGUUGAGGGGGAGGCGGUAUGUAGAAAUAUGCCUUUGGGGUAUGGGCUCUGUUUUUCCUCUCAUUUAUUUCCUGCCUUCAUAAAUUCAACAAGAAUAUCGUUUUGUGGUCCCUAGCCAGUCAGAUGUUUGACACUUAUAAAACAGAAGUUCCAAGUAGCAAUCCUCAGCAAUCUGUUAGAUUGCUGUGAAAAGAACAAUAUCCUCUAGGUUUCUGGUCAACUAUUGUGGCCUUUCUGUUGAAAAAGUGUUGUUAAAUUCACUGUGCCUACUCUUUCAAAGUUCUUUUGAAACUAAUAUAUAGUAACUAUUUAUAUACCUACAUAGGUAUUACCUAUAAACCUAUAUAGGUACUUGAGCAUGAUAAUAUUUCCUGAACACUCAGGGAUGCAAGGUGUCCUACUGAUAUCAGAUAUGGCAGUGACUGCCCCACAAAGUCACUUGAAUGUGGAAUCUCCUCUGGGUAAAUGUGUUUGUGCCCUAUAUAUCAUAAAUGAAGGGGAGCCGGUAGAUGAUGGUGGGUAAUAAGGGAAAUCUUGUUUUCUCCAAGAAAAUGGAUCGUCAUGGCAUUAAAAAUCCAGCACCUAGUAUAGUUUCUUGCCCAUAGUCAAUUCAAUAAAUGUAUCAUCAAAUGUUGAACCAAGUGUUCCUCUGAGAAAAAUGAUAAAGGAGCCAAAGAAGACAAAAAAGAAAUGUACUAAAGCAUGAGAGAAUGAGCUACAUUCAGAAACUGAGUAAGGUAUCUAAACAUAUUGGAGAGCUAGGCACAUUGGUCCUGGAACAAAAUGAACUGUAGCAGAAUAGUCCCUGGUGGACUGCAGAUACUACCCAAAUAAAGAAACCAGUAAGAACUGAUCCCCAAAAUCAAUUCUUUACAUACCUGUAAUUACCUAAUUUGUAAAUAUUUCUGACUGCACAUAAACUAGAAAUUACUGCUUUAAAAAAAGACACCCAAAAGUAUGUAUAACUGUCCCCAUGACUUAUAAAAAGAGAUAUAGAAGAAAAGAGUCGGGAAUUGUUUCAGAAACUAAAACCAUAAAAGAGAGCACCUUGUACUUUGGUGGCAGCAAAAGGAGGGAACUGGCAUCUGGACAGCUAGUGUGAUGCUAUAGACACUGGCUUAAAAUAAUUUUAAAAGCUUCAUGGUAUCUCUUUGAAAGAAAUAAAAUGAGAGUUUAUCUAUUUAAGAGUAAAGUAAUUGAGGAUAAACAAAAUGUAGUAUGUACAUACGACAAAAUAUUAUUUUAGCCUUAAAAAGGAAUGAAACUCGGGGCACCUAGGUGGCUCAGUCAAUUAAGGGUCCAACUGCUGCUCAGGUCAUGAUCUCGCAGCUUAUGGGUUCAAGCCCUGUGUAGGACUCUGUGCUGACAGCUCAGAGCCUGGAGCCUGUUUCAGAUUCUGUGUCUCCGUCUCUCCCUCUCUCUUUCUCUCUCUCUCUCUUUCUCUACAGGAUUAUUGGUGAUCGUCUCCCAUGCUCAGUCUCAGGCUGCAGCAUUUGGCAGAAAUCAGUGAUUUUUCAGAACGUUGGAAGGUGCCCACAACUGGCACUAGUGUUUUUUGUCACUUCAGAGCACCUAUGGAGAGUCCUUUGCUUUCCAUACAAGAGUAAGCUUAGGAAUGCUUUGUUUUAUUGUAGGUCAGGCUGCCUGCAGAUAUGGACCCUUUCCUCUGCUGCCUUAUUGCCAGUUACAUUAAAUACAGUAUAUGGCAAGAGUUUAUUAAUCUGUACUAUAGUCAACAUCCAUGCGAGCAUAUAUAAUGGCCUCCAUGCAGAAAAAAAUAGGCAAUAAGAAGGAGAUGAUUAUGGUGGAAGUUAAGAAGGAAAUCAUGGAGAAGUAUGAACGAGGUAUGCGAGUGGCUGAAAUUCCAAGAUUUUAUAAGAAGCCUAUGUUUGCAUCUUGUCUGCAGAGGAGGAAGAGAAAAAGGCAGAGGAAACCCUCACUUCAAAUGAGAUUAGAGAAAUGUGUAAAAUGUGGGAAACUGCAAAAUUUUGUAGAAAAGCACCACCCAAAAAAGGCUGUAGCAGUGUGAGCAAUGAAUCUGUUUAAUGACAAUGCGAUGUCACAUUUCCACGAAAUCCUCAAAAGGAGGCAAAAGCAAGUGUCAUUGGAUAAGUUCCUUGUUAAAGUUGCAUGAAAAGAAAAAGAUUCCAUUGAGAUAGCAGUGAUUCCCUUAGUGACAGUGAAAAUUGUCCUACACAAUAAUCCUCCUCUUUCUUGUCUCCCUCACACCAGCCACGAAGGUUUUCAAAAGUAAGUGCAGGUUAGGGUACCUGGGUGGCUCAGUUGGUUAAGUGUCCAACUUCGGCUUGGGUCAUGAUCUCGUGGUUCGUGGGUUUGAGCCCCACAUUGGGCUCUAUGCUGACAGUUCAGAACCUAGAACCUACUUCAGAUUCUGUGUCUCCCUCUCUGCCCCUCCCCUAAAAUAAAUAACCAUUAAAAAAAAUUUUUAAGUGCAUUAAUUUGUUUUUCUUUAGACUGUAUAUUUUCUUUAUUAUUUUGUAUUUUAUUACAGUAUUGUAAUCAUUUUUAUAUGAAUAUUUUUAGGUUGUAGAAUGAAUUAUAUGAGUUUCCAUUAUUUCUUAUGGGGAAAUUUCGCUUCGAUAUACAAGUGCUUUGGAUUACAAGCAUGUUUCUGGAACGAAUUACACUCACAAACCGAGGUUUUACUGUACUUCUAUAAGGCACCUAAAAUAGUCAAAUUCAUAGAGACAGAAAGUAGACUAGUGGUUACCUGGGGCAGGGGAAGAAGGGGCUGGGGAAUUAUUGUUUAACAGCGACAGAAUUUCAGUGUGGGAUGAUGAUAAAGUUCUGGGGAUGGAUGGUGGUAAUGGUUGCACAACAAAGUGAACAUUGUUAAUGCCACUGAACUAUACACUUAAUGAUGAUAAAUUUUAUGUAUAUUUUUACCACAGUAAAAAUAAAUAUUUUCUUUAAAAGGAAAGUAGUUGAAAUGUGAGUUCUCUGAGGACCAGUAUUACAUCUUAUUCAGCCUAGUACCUCGCAUAUAGUAGAUGCUCUAGAAUAUUUGUUGAGUAAAUAGACAAUUAUUGACUGGUUGCUGUAAACACACUAGUUAUAUAGAGAUUAAUGUAUGUGUCACUUACAGAAUUAGACUAAGUAGGAAAUUCAGUAUUUCAAAUUGCCACUCUUAAAAUAUAAUUUAACACUAAUAUUUCUUUUUCUUUUAUUUCCUUUGUGGAGCUUUUGUUUGGUUGGUUGAUUGGUUGGUUUGUGUUUUUUAAUUUUUUUUUUUAACAUUUAUUUAUUUUUGAGAGACAGAGAGAGAUAGAGCAUGAGAGGAGGAGGGGCAGAGAGAGGGAGACACAGAAUCCGAAGGAGGCUCCAGGCUCUGAGCUGUAAGCACAGAGCCCAACAUGGGGCGCGAACUCACGAAAAAUGAGAUCAUGACCUGAGCCGAAAUCGGACGCUCAAUCGACUGAGCCACCCAGGCGCCCCUAUUAGUUGGUUUGUGUUUUUAAAUAAAAUUGAUGAAAGUUUGUUGGUCACAAUCUUUUUAGGUGAAAUACUGAGAGAUGAAAAGGACUGUUUCUUCCUGGAGAAAUGCAGAUCAUUUAGAUAUUAAUGAAAGUUCUGCAUUCACCUGCUGAAUGGGAGUUUUCACAUAUUUUGGUACUUUUUGCAUAUUUUUGCAAAGAAAGAAAUAUGACCCCCUAAUUAAAAGCUGCUGUAAUCACUUUAAGAGAUGAAACACAGAGCUCUUAACUAUAUUACAAUAAAGUAUCUACAGAUUAGAAGACUUGUCAUUCCACUAGAAGUAAAGGUAGUAAUUUCAUAAAGCUACUAGUCUAACAAAUAUUGAAAAUACUCAGAUUUGUUAGUAAAUGUCCUGUAUGAUUACUUUGUGUCAGGCAUUCCUGGGUGAAUGGCAGAAGGUAUACUUACAUGGACAAUUUCAUAAGUGAUUUCAAAUCAAUCUAUAAUCUAGGUCCCUUUCUCUUCUUAAAUAUCCUGUUCCCCAAAUCCAUCUAUCCACUUUUAUCUCUAGCAGCUACGAGUUGCUAUUUACAUAAAGAGACAGUUUAGAUUUGGCUGCUUCACCUUAUGAUUUAUUUUUACUCCAGUCAUUUUGCAAGAAUAUCUUAAAAUAAGCAAAGAUUUUGAGCCAAGGAUAUUGACAGAUUUAAUUAGCUUUGAUUAUUGCAAGUCCCCCAAGAAAUAAUAAUUGGCCAGUCCUGGCCAAUGACUAAGCACGGCAGGAGCUUUAUUGAGCAGUGAAACGCAACUGACUGAGCAAUGCAGCUUCAUUGUAGAAAUAUUUGGGACUCCUCUAAUGGGUAGCUUUGGCUUGAGGAACAUCCAUCAGCCUACCUGAAACCCUCAGAACUGUGCUGCAGUCUGAGAUAAUGCCUACUUAUCCUUUCUUUUCCCUCUCCUUCAUAACUCAGAAUGUGACCGUAUUUGGAUGUAGGUCCUUUAUAAAGGCAAUUAAGAUGUUAGGGUGAACCCUAAUCCAAUCUGACUAGUGUCCUUGUAAGGAGGAAUUUGAACACCCAGAAAGACGCUGAGGGCAUGUGUGCAGAGGAAGGGCAUGUGAGGAUACAGCAAGAAGGUGGCCAUCUACAAUCCAAGGGAGAUGCCUCAGAAGAAACCAAUCCUGCUGAUAUCUUGAUCUUGGACUUCUACACUCCACAACUGUGAGAAAUACAUUUCUGUUGUUUAUGCUAUCCAGUCUGCGGUACUGUAUUUUGUAAUGGCGGCCCUAGCUAUGCCAAAUACCACCUUGGCAGCUGCUCAGAGGGUCCAAACUAACACAAGUGGUACCAAGAGAGGUCCAAAAACAAAAAAACAGAAACAAAAGAAAGCUAGAAAAUAAAAUGAAGUUUCAGGACUGGCUCACUCACUAUCUGGUGGGCAAAGACAAUAUUAUCGUGAGUAGUGUACGGACAUGGAUAGUUCCCAGCACAAGGUGGUGACCAGGUGCUAAAGAUUUCAUCAGUGGUGGCCUGGGAAAACAUCCCAGUGGAGGAGAAGGAAAAGAAUAUAAUUUCAGGCAUUUGAAAUGUAUGGGGGUCGGGGAGGGCAAUGCCUACAAGGACAAUGGAGUUGGCCGGUUACUGCUAAGUUGUAUAGACACUCAGGCGGGAUAACGAAAAAGCAAAGGUCCCCCUUGAUUAAUAGCCAAGUAUGAGAGACAAGAGGACGUCUUUAGUAACUUACAAAAAGGCUUUUAUCUCUAUAGUGGAAGACCUGACACAGUUAUGCCACAAACUUGGGACAUGAUAGAGGCACAGAGCCCCAAAGACAUUUAAAUAUGUAGCCAAAGCUAGACAGGGCCCUGGCUGAAAAUGCCUGAACGCCUGAAACAAGGGAUGGGACAUCUGGAUGCACAACUGUAAGGAUCUUAGCUCUGUAGGCCCUCGUGAACUUUGAAAGCUUGCAGAGAUAGUCUACCUCUUCGUAAUAAAACUAGUACUUCCUCCAUGCUCAAAGACACUGCAGAGCCACUCCUUCUCUACUGGCUACUAUGCUAAUAAAUGGAAUCAAAUCCUAGCAUAACCAAGCUGAAAACAUGCCUGACCUAAUAAAGGAGGAAAGAGAUCCCAUACAAAGGAGCUGUAAAAAUUAGCAUAUACAAACAAGUCAGAGGAGUUUUGAGGUUGCUUGAUCAUGGGGGCUGGAAUAUUAGACUAGAUAAUCAAGAAUUCAUUGACAGCACUUUCUUCUCGGGAUUUAACACUGCAUGGACUCUUACAGAGGAUGUAACAAACUCAUGGGAGGGAUGGGCGGGGGAAUCUCUUAGAAACCUAGAGAAAGUGAUGGCCAAUGCUGAGCAAAGUAGAAAUGUCUCAGUUGCCCGGGCACAUGGUAGAAGAAUGAAUUAAAAGACUGGGGGAAGUGGGCAUGCUGGAAUGGAUAUGUGUGAAGCCAGAAGACCCAUCAGAGGAUUCUGUUUCACAGGAGGGCCCAGAAGAUACACCAUUCACCAAGGCCAUCAGAAAUCCUCUGGUAAGGGACACCACCACCAAGAAGUUCUCUGCGUUCCUGAGCUAACAACAGCAGUCACAGAGUUAGGACCCAUUAAUGAUUAUGGGAAAAAUAUUCCCCUUCCCCAAGUAAUAGAGGCCAGAUAGUGGCACUUAGUCACUAGAAGCCAGGAGGCCACAAUUAAAAAGACCAACAACAUUUGACAAGUGGCAGCCAAGAGGGCUUGACUCACAGGGAGUUGUGGAGAUGGAUGUAGAGCUUGGUAUCUCUAGGGGCAAAAUAGGUGGGAAUCCUAUUAACAUCUACAACCCAAAAAAGGCCAAAACGGAGGAGCAGGAGACUGAGGAUGGUUUCAUCCAGAAAGUCAUCGUCCCUUGUUCAGUAUCCCGAUCUGAGCCACUUUUCAGAUCUGAAACUUGUUGACUUAAGGGGCGGCAGGUCCUGCGGCACUGCAGCAAAUGUAAGUGUUAUGAUUCCCCAGUCCUUUGCUAAAGAUACCUAUGGCCAUUUACUUCAGUGAUUGUACACAGUGGGAAAGAGGAAUAACCAGAAAUUUAAGAACUAUUGGACUCAGUCAACUCAGACAUCAAUAUCCUGAGACCCAAAGCAUUGUCAUAGCCUCUUGUUAGAGUGGAGGCAAAUGGGGACUGGGUAAUAAUUGGAGUUCUGACUAAAGUCUAGUUAGGGUAGGUCCAUUGUGUCUGUGAACCCACCCAGUGGUCAUUUCUUCAGUUCUUGAGUCUGUAAUUGGAGUUGAUACACUUAGCAGCUGCAGUUAUACCAACAUUUAAAUGCUUGACCUGUGUGAAGAGCUAUCAUAGUGGAGAAGGCCAAGUGGAAACACCUGAAAAUGACCUUCCAGACCUGGCUAACAUAGUAAAUUAAAAAAUAAACAAAUGAAAAUAUCACAUACCAGGGGGCAUGGUGGAAAUUAGUGCCACCAUUAAAGACCUAAGAAAUGUGGGAGGAUGGUCCCUAUCAUAUCUCCAUUUAAUUAGCCAGUCAGGCCCCUGCAGAAACUAGAUGGGUCCUGGAGAAUGACUCUAGACCACCAUAGCAAGUCACAGCCCCAAUAGCACCUGCUGUGCUUUAUAUAGUCUUACUGCUAGUGCAGAUUAAUAAGGCAUCAGGACAUGACGUGUGGCCAGUGGUUUGUUGAACAAAUUAUUUUCCAUUUUGAUUAGGAAAGAUCGUGUGGGACAGAUAACCAUUUACAGUUUUGCCUCAAGGAUAGAUUAACUCUGCCCUCUGUCGUAAUAAGGUCCAAAGAAAUCUGAACCUCCUAAACAUCUCAUAGAGUAGCACACCGACCCAUUGCAUCAAUGAUAUGCCGGUCAGACUGUACAAGUGGAGUGGCUAGUAUGCUGGAGGCAUUGGUAAGACUAAUGCUCCAGAGAAUAGAAGAAAAAUGCUAUAAAGAUUCAAGGACUUGCCACUUCAGUGAGGUUUUCAGAGUGUACCAUUAUAUCUUUCCAAAGUGAAAGUCUUGCAUCCCUUACCACAAAGAAGAAUGCACAGGGCUUGGUAUGUCUCUUUAGGUUCUGGAGCAACAUAUACCACACUUAGGAAUACUGCUCCAGCCCAUUUACCAGGUGACAUUGAAGAUUUCCAGCUUUGGGGCCCAGAGCAGGUGAAAGGCUCUUCAGAAGUCCAGGCUACAGUACAGACAUCUUUGUCACUUUGGCCAUAUAUUCCAGUAAAAUCUUGUAUUGGAGGUAUCAGACUAGGGAAAGAAGCAGUUUGGAGCUUGUGAUGGUUAAUUUUAUGUCAACUUGGCUGGGCUAUGGGGUAGUCCAGUAUUUGGCCAAACAUUAUUCUGCGUGUGUCUGUGGGUGUGUUUCCAGAUGAAGUUAACAUUGGAUUGGUAGAAUGAGUAAAGCAGAUUGCCAUCCCUAAUGUAAGUGGGCCUCAUUCAAUCAGUUGAAGACCUGAGUAGAACUAAAAGAUUGAGUAGAAGGGAACUCCUGCUUGAUUGCAUAGCUAGGAUGUUGGUCUUUUCCAGCCUUUAGGCUUGGUCUGAAACAUCAGCUCUUCUUGGAUCUUGAACCCGCCAACUUUCAGACUGGAAAUCAUGCCAUUGGCUUUCCUUGUUCUCAGGCCGUUGGCUUCAGACUGGGAACUACACAUCAGCUCUCCUGGGUCUCCAGCUUGAUGACUGCAGAUCUUGGGACUUCUUGGCCUCCAUACUCAUGUGAGUCAAUUCUUUAUAAUAAAUCUAUAGCUAUAGCUAUACAAUCUAUAUCUAUACUUACACCUACAUCUAUAUAACUAUAAUGUUUCUGUUUCUCUGGAGAUCCCUGGCUAAUACAGAUCUUGACACCAGCCGUGGAAUGUAGCUGUAACAAAUAACUAAAAAUGUGGAAGCUGCUUCGGAACUGGAUAAUGAGUGGAGUUGGAAAAGUUUUAAAGUGCAUGCUACAAAUAUGGACAUUAAGGACAAUUCUGGUGAGACGUCAGAUGGAAAUGAGGAGGACGUUAAUGGAAAUUGUGGGAAAAGUGACCCUUGUUAUAAAGUGGUGAAUAACUUGGCUGAACUGUGUUCUGUUUUGUGCAAGGUAGAAUUUGUGAGUGAUGAAAUUGGAUAUUUAGCUGAGGAGAUUUCUAAGCAAAGUAUUGAAGGAGGGGCUUGGUUCCUCCUGAUUGCUUAUAGUAAAAUGUGAAAGGAGAGAGAUGAAGAAGGAAUUGUUAAGCAAAAAGGAACCAGAACUUGAUGAUUUAGAGAUUUCUCAGCCUAUCCAUAUUGAAAAACAUGAGAAAGCAUGUUCUAAAGAAAAUACCAAUGGCACAACUUGAUUAUCACUUGAUAAAGAGUUUAUGGGAUUAUAUGAGCAGAAAUGCAGCCAAUUUGAACUGAAGGGGAUGAAGAUGGGACCAAACAAAGGAAGGCUGUUGGGCUUAUUGAAUUUGACAAGACAGAAUGAUAGAGCUAUUCAGCUGCACACAUGCACUAUUCUGCAAGAAGAGGGGAAAAUGAUGCCGACAGUGAUUAAGAGAUCAUCAGGGCCACUACACUACCUCAGUUUCAACAGCCUUUGGUGGGGGACUACCCAACAGGACCUUGGGGGUGAUGCUGCCACCUACUGGACCUGGAGGGCAGAGCAUUGAACCAAGGAGGAUUAUUUUAAAGCCUUAAAAUCUGAUGGACUUUGCCUUGCUAAAUUUUGAGCUUGCUUGGGACCAUCACCCCUUUCUUCUCCCUUUUGUAAUGAGAAUGUCUAUCCUAUUACUAUCCCACUAUUGUAUUUUGAAAGUAUAUAACUUGUCUGAUUUCACAGAUUCACAGCUGGAGAGGAAUUUUGCCUCAGGAUGAAUCAUACCUCCAGUCUCACUCUAUCUGAUUUAGAUGAUAUUCAAAUGAGACUUUAGAUGCUGGAAUAAAUUAAGAGCUUUGGAGAUUUGGGGAUGAAAUGAAUGUAUUUUGUGUGCAAUAAUGAUAUGAAUUUUAGGGGGCCACAGGUGGAAUGUUAUAGACUGAAUGUGUCCCCCUCCAAAUUCAUACAUUGAAGCCCUAAUCCCCAACAUGAUGACAAAGAGGCACCAGAGAGCUCUCUUUCUCUGCCCUAUAAGGAUACAGUGAGAAGGUAGCUGUCUGCAAGUCAGGAAGAGAGCUUUCACCAGAUCCUGAUUAUGCUGGCAUCUUGAUCUCGGACUUCUGGCCUCUAG
rnacentral:lncRNA from 1 species